rnacentral:rRNA from 1 species
CGGAGGAAAAGAAACCAACAGGGAUUGCCUCAGUAACGGCGAGUGAAGCGGCAAAAGCUCAAAUUUGAAAUCCCCCGGGAAUUGUAAUUUGAAGGUGGCCUCAGUUAGUCCAAACAUUCUUAAGUCCAUUGGAAAAUGGCGCCAUGGAGGGUGAUAGCCCCGUAAAGAUGUCGUUUGUUCUAUUUUCUCUGGCCACCAAAGAGUCGAGUUGUUUGGGAAUGCAGCUCUAAGUGGGUGGUAAAUUCCAUCUAAAGCUAAAUAUUGGCGAGAGACCGAUAGCGAACAAGUACAGUGAUGGAAAGAUGAAAAGCACUUUGAAAAGAGAGUGAAAAAGUACGUGAAAUUGUUGAAAGGGAAGGGCUUGCAAGCAGACACAACCUCGUGUUGGGCCAGCAUCGGGGCGAGAGGAAGUAAAAACGAUUUGGAAAUGUAACUUUCGAGUAUUAUAGACCUUAUCCCUCCCUUCCA